ACGAACGCUGGCGGCGUGCCUAACACAUGCAAGUCGAGCGGAGACAGUGAGUAGCUUGCUAUGAGCUGUUUUAGCGGCGGACGGGUGAGUAACGCGUGAGCAACCUUUCCCAGACAGGGGAAUAACACACCGAAAGGUGUACUAAUACCGCAUAAGACCACGGAAUCACAUGGUUCUGAGGUAAAAGAUUUAUCGGUUUGGGGUGGGCUCGCGUCCGAUUAGGUAGUUGGUGAGGUAACGGCCCACCAAGCCGACGAUCGGUAGCCGACCUGAGAGGGUGAUCGGCCACAUUGGGACUGAGACACGGCCCAAACUCCUACGGGAGGCAGCAGUGGGGAAUAUUGGGCAAUGGAGGAAACUCUGACCCAGCAACGCCGCGUGGAGGAAGAAGGUUUUCGGAUCGUAAACUCCUGUCCUUGGAGACGAGUAGAAGACGGUAUCCAAGGAGGAAGCCCCGGCUAACUACGUGCCAGCAGCCGCGGUAAUACGUAGGGGGCAAGCGUUGUCCGGAAUAAUUGGGCGUAAAGGGCGCGUAGGCGGCUCGGUAAGUCUGGAGUGAAAGUCCUGCUUUUAAGGUGGGAAUUGCUUUGGAUACUGUCGGGCUUGAGUGCAGGAGAGGUUAGUGGAAUUCCCAGUGUAGCGGUGAAAUGCGUAGAGAUUGGGAGGAACACCAGUGGCGAAGGCGACUAACUGGACUGUAACUGACGCUGAGGCGCGAAAGUGUGGGGAGCAAACAGGAUUAGAUACCCUGGUAGUCCACACUGUAAACGAUGAAUGCUAGGUGUAGGGGGUAUCGACCCCUUCUGUGCCGCAGUCAACACAAUAAGCAUUCCGCCUGGGGAGUACGGCCGCAAGGUUGAAACUCAAAGGAAUUGACGGGGGCCCGCACAAGCAGCGGAGCAUGUGGUUUAAUUCGACGCAACGCGAAGAACCUUACCAAGUCUUGACAUCCUUCUGACCGGUACUUAAUCGUACCUUCUCUUCGGAGCAGGAGUGACAGGUGGUGCAUGGUUGUCGUCAGCUCGUGUCGUGAGAUGUUGGGUUAAGUCCCGCAACGAGCGCAACCCUUAUCUUCAGUUACUAACGCGUGAGGGUGAGGACUCUGAAGAGACUGCCGGGGACAACUCGGAGGAAGGUGGGGACGACGUCAAAUCAUCAUGCCCCUUAUGACCUGGGCUACACACGUGCUACAAUGGCCACGACAGAGAGAAGCGAAAUCGCAAGGUAGAGCGGAACUCAAAAAAGUGGUCCCAGUUCGGAUUGUGGGCUGCAACCCGCCCACAUGAAGUCGGAGUUGCUAGUAAUCGCGGAUCAGCAUGCCGCGGUGAAUACGUUCCCGGGCCUUGUACACACCGCCCGUCACACCAUGGGAGUUGGGAGUGCCCAAAGCCGGUGAGGCAACCGCAAGGAGCCAGCCGUCUAAGGCAAGACCAAUGACUGGGGUG
rnacentral:rRNA from 1 species